rnacentral:rRNA from 1 species
AUUGAACGCUGGCGGCAUGCUUUACACAUGCAAGUCGAACGGUAACAGGGAGCUUGCUCCGCUGACGAGUGGCGAACGGGUGAGUAAUAUAUCGGAACGUACCCAAGAGUGGGGGAUAACGUAGCGAAAGUUACGCUAAUACCGCAUACGAUCUAAGGAUGAAAGCAGGGGACCUUCGGGCCUUGUGCUCCUGGAGCGGCCGAUAUCUGAUUAGCUAGUUGGUGAGGUAAAGGCUCACCAAGGCGACGAUCAGUAGCUGGUCUGAGAGGACGACCAGCCACACUUGAACUGAGAACCGGUCCAGACUCCUACGGGAGGCAGCAGUGGGGAAUUUUGGACAAUGGGCGCAAGCCUGAUCCAGCAAUGCCGCGUGAGUGAAGAAGGCCUUCGGGUUGUAAAGCUCUUUUGUCAGGGAAGAAACGGGAUUGGCUAAUAUCCAGUCCUAAUGACGGUACCUGAAGAAUAAGCACCGGCUAACUACGUG